UCGUUAACGAACGAGACCUUAACCUGCUAAAUAGUCACGCAAACCUUGGUUUGUGGCCGACUUCUUAGAGGGACUAUUGACGUUUAGUCAAUGGAAGUUUGAGGCAAUAACAGGUCUGUGAUGCCCUUAGAUGUUCUGGGCUGCACGCGCGCUACACUGAUGAAGCCAGCGAGUUUACAACCUUGGCCGGAAGGUCUGGGUAAUCUUGUGAAACUUCAUCGUGCUGGGGAUAGACCAUUGCAAUUAUUGGUCUUCAACGAGGAAUUCCUAGUAAGCGUGAGUCAUCAGCUCGCGUUGAUUACGUCCCUGCCCUUUGUACACACCGCCCGUCGCUAAUACCGAUUGAAUGGGUA
rnacentral:rRNA from 1 species